GUAAAAUCCUUUUAAUGCGACCCAGUGAAUGGAUGUGGCGUGGAAAGGAGGGGGCGUUGCACACUACUGUCUCUAUGUACACAGACACACACACACACAGCGAGCAUCCCACAUCCUGGUACUUUUCAGCGUUGUCAAGGCAGCCUGAGCACGACUGGCGGAAAGUAGCUGCAGUGUCCUGGCAGAAUAUCUGUGCAAAACCGCCCCCAAAGUGUCCCGGAAAGUUAAGUGCCGCUAAAAGGAUAUCUGCACACCAAUGUGAUGUCGGAGAGCAUAAGAGGUGCUCAGAAACAUGAUGAUGCUGAUAAUGACAGUUAGGAUCCUGGACUGAGGGGCUACCAAGGCCAAUCACUGCUGUUGGAUGAGAACCGAUGGGCUGUCUAGCCUGGCAACAGGAUGCCAACUGCAAAAGGUAAAGGUGGCUCAACGUCCCACCGUUACCGGCCGGCCUCGGAGUAUGAUGAUGCCACGCUCGCCCUAAAGCGAGAGUACUGGAGAAACAAGAAGCGAGAGCAGCGGGCCCGUGUGUCAGAGGAGAGGGAAAGGCACAAACACAGCAGCAGCAGCCAGGGAGGGAAGCAGCUAAAUGCCCCAGCAGAAGAGGCUUCCACUCUGGCCCAGUCAUCAGGUGCUUCGUCACCUCCUCUGCAGAGUAAUGAUAAUUCAUACAAUUCUGUGUCAAAGCACGGAAAUGCUCUGGGGGAGGGGUCACGUGAAACCACUGACAGCCAAAAGGAGAAGUGGCUCCAGACAGUAAAGCUCAACAAGCGUCUGCCUCAGUUGCCAGCGUCGUGUUCUAUCUCUGCCAAAUCAGCCAGCGGCAACGCAGCCGCAGGUAAACGUCAGACAGCAAGGGACGCAACCGUUUCCUCACCCGUGUCCUCACCCGUGUCCUCACCCGUGUCCAGUGGAACUCAGCUGAACACCGUAUCCUCAGUGCCUCCAGUCAGAGUGACCAGAAUAACCAAUGGCAGCUCCAGUAAAACAGCACCUCAGCCACGUGUGUCUAUGCAGGGUGCAUCAGUCCCCAGAAACCAACAUAAGGCACCGGUUGUAUUACCCACUCAGCCCAAAGUCUUACCCACAGGUCUCGUUCUGGUGUCCUCUCCAUGCGGCCCCACUUCCACUAAAGCAGAGAGCAAAAGAGCCAUCUCAACACCUCAGAGUGGAACAAAGCGUGCCUUGGUCACCACACAGAGGGCUAAAGGUGUUGGCAAUGCACGAGCUUCUCUGGAGUCCGACGAGGAAAGAGCAGCCAAGCGUCGGGAACAGUGGCGGAUCAAAAAGCGAGAGCAGCGAGCAAAGCUUGCAGCUAGGUUAGCUAAAGCCAGAGAGAGGACACAGGGUGCAGAGAUGACGUUUCAGAGGCUAACGGCGCCAAAAACCAGACACGUGGGAAGCAUAGUUCUUCCAUCAGAGUCACUUUUGAGAGGAGCAAGCCAGAAGCAGUGUCAUACACGGGUCAAAACAUCACUUACAUCAGCCAAAAGUGAAAACAAUAAACUGCAAAGUGGGACAGCAACUGUAGUUGUAACUGCUCUGCAAACAUCUGAUGUUCCAUCUGUGAAAAAACCAGUAGACUCUCAGGGAAAGGUUCCAAGUUACGGUCAUCUUGGCGGUGUUACCCGGGGUAUCGCGAGAUAUAAAACGCCUAGACAAAGGUUCAUCGAAGCACAGAGAAACUUAAUGAACCACAGAAGUCUACGGUGUAAAUCCCCAAUGCUGCCCUCAGCUUUUGGUACCAGAAAUAUGCCCAAAAUCAACCCCGACGACACGCCCGAGCAGAUAAUAGCUAAACGGAGAGAGUACUGGCGGAUCAAAAAGCGCGAACAGCGAGCUAAGCUGUCCAUGGAGGUAAAGGUUCGGUUGAAAGAGAGAGAUUCUUUGAUGAGGAGGGUGAAACGUUACCAGAAGAUCCUCGAGGAGAUGAGGAAGACUAGAGUGCUGGCGCAGUCAACCGGAAGUGCCCUCACUCACAGCCCAGAGACCAUCGGAGGAUUCAUCAAAGAGGACGGGACGCUGACUGCUAACAUCCCUCACAGUUCUGCAUGUCACAGCAUAGCAGAAGACAAAAGCCAAGUAGAGCUUUGUGUAGUUUCUACAAACACUCCUUUGGCACAACAACAGCGUCAGCCUGACGCUAAACUGAGAAGUGUUGCUCCCAUCAGGAUAAACCCGGCUCCCCCUCCUCUUUGCUCAGCUCAGGUGAAAGUCUCUGCUCCUGGACAGCUAGCCAACAAACUGCCGCGACUGCUCGCAGUUAGACCACAGACUCACCUCAAAAGCACAACCGUUCCUAAUUUGCACUCAUCAGCUAUCCAAACUGUGGGUCAGCUCACACUUACUCAUCCACAGAGCCCUCAAAAUUCAGCAGGUUCAAACGUUAGCAGUUGUGUUAUGAAAAUGACCAUCUCGAGCAGAGCGCCAUCGCUGUCAGCCCUGUCUCUGGAUGCGGGGCUGACGGAGGAGGAGAGGAUGGCAAAGAAGAGGGAGUACUGGAGGAUAAAGAAGCGUGAGCAGAGAGCAGCUCGAGCUGUCCGACUGAGACAGGGUGUUUUACAUGCUAGGGCCGGUGCAGCCUCACAAAGGAGGAAGCCUCAGAAGCAGGGGACGCUGAUCACUGUGCCUCAGAUUAGAAAUCUCACCGACACUACAGCAACUGCACCUCCUCUUUCCAACAACAGCGUGCUUUUUCUGCCUCGUGCAAAUGAAAUGAAACAGGAGAGUGACUCCAUGCCAGCAGCUGACCUCAAUUCUCCACCAGAACAAGCCAUCUGUCCAGAUAUCAAACCCCCUAUUUCCCCACCUCCAGCACCCCAGCUGGAGUCUGACCCAUGUCUGAGCGCAGACAGCCAAACUGCCACUCUGCUAGCUGUGGCCUCCAUGAAGAAGCUCCUGGAAGAAUCUCUUAGCACAGUGACAGAAUGUAAAAGUGAGCAGAACUCUAUUAAAAUGGAGACGAUAGAAGAGGUUUCACAGCAAGACAUGAAGCCAAAUUUAUCUCAGCUGUCCUUUGAAAGGGAUGACACGGCUCCUAUUGCUGCUGACCUGACUCUGCAGAUAAAAAGCUGGGAGCUAGACAGCAAGGUCUCUGCAAAGGCCAGUUUACAAAGCCCUCAACUCAAGAACCCAUCGCAGGUGAGUGAGACAGUUCCACCUCUUCCUGCUUCCAGUGAGCUAGGUGUGCAUCAUACCAGUGAGCACUCAUCCCAGACCCCUUUGAACUACAUAGUAAACACCUCCAUGGAAGCACCACGCAGAACCCAGAGACUUUGCGCUAAAAAAGCCGGCUAUAAAACCUGCUGCUCUCCAGAGCCACCAAAGCUGCAUCACAUCACAGCCGUGACGCUGGAUAACCUGCAACCACAGCAGGAACAGCAUCAGGCACAAGAGCAGAACAUCUGCCCCGAAUCAAAGCGGAGGUACAACAGCGUGGUGACGGAGCAGAGCGGCUUGACCAGCUUGCAGAGGAAGAGGGAGUACUGGAAGCUGAUGAAGAGGCAGCAGAGGGCCAAGUUAAAGGCCAGGCAGAAAGACGGCGAGGGGGAGUGCAGCAGCGGGCUCUUCCCCAGAAGCAUUCAGACCCCGGGGCUCGUUAUUAUCAACAGUCUUAAAGGGGCGAGUCCUCCAGCAAAACGAGCCCUGCAGCCCAAACCACCUGUCUCUCCUCUGGACUCAGUGACCAGCAUCCCCACCGUUCUGGUUGUUAGCCAAACAACAUCUAAUGCUCAACAGUCAGCGUGCACGCUCCAGGUCAGACUGCCUAUCACCAGCAAUGAGUACAGCAGCGUCAAACUUGGGCCUUCACAUGCUGUAUCCAGCUGUGCAGGAGUUUCUGAAUCUCUACAGCUUUCACAAGCAUCUAGAAGCACUGAUGUAGACUCAGCUCCCGCCCUCACCGCUGCGAAGCCACCAGACAAACCACUGUCCAGUACUGACAUGCACCUCAUUGAACCCCUUGGUCAAAGUCCGUUAAAAAUCCCCUCUGCUCACCUUCAGAGUCCCCCACACAAGAAACAAUCCUCCACCCAGCUGGCACCAGUGAGCACCAUGGUUCCUCCAAAGCCCAUCCCAGGGGAAAGUGAGCAGGACUUUCUGAGGAGGAAGCGGGAGUACUGGAGGAUAAAAAAGAAGGAGCAGAGAGCCAGGAAGGCAGUUCGGGAGAAGGGAAUCACCCAAAGCUUCAACAGCUGGAAGACUAGGCUGCCUCCCCUGGGUCUACAGACAGAGGAACCUGGUCAGUGGGUGAACUCUUCUGAGGAGUCAGAACAUCUAAUGAGCUCUUCAGUGGACUCGGCAUCCUUCACAUACUCGGAUUACACAGCCCCAAUCGAAGAUGAGUCAGAGCUGCUGUUCGCUGAAAGUGAGGACGAUUCUGUUUCCGAUGCUGUCUGGAGGAGCCGCUACCUCAUGGACUAUGACCCACUCAACCAGCUGCUGGUGUGCAUGGUGUGUGGGGAACUGCAAUAUUCCCACAGCCUAGAGGGAGUGAAGGCCCACAUUGACGAGGCCCACCCGCACACCCUAACCUUGGAGCCCGGCGAGAAAGAGCAAAUACGGGAGGCCUGGGAUGAGCAGGUGUCGCGGCGGGAACGCUUCUUCAGCAGCCAGCUGCAGCAGCACAGCAGACCUGUGGCAGAACCACACAAGAACUGAAGAGCUGAAGAGACGGCUGCAGGAGGCAGCUGAAGACCAUGGACCAGGAGAAACAAACCCCACCCCCUUUCUCUCGUGUAUUUUAUUUCUUAUCAGUGUGUUUACCUCUGCUGGAAGACACCUUGGAAAAGAAGGCCCUAAAGCAGCUUUACCUCAUUUCCUACCAGGGUUGUGUAUGUUUAUCAAAGGCAGUGAGGACAUUUUUAUACUGAAGCUGCUUCAUCCGAGAUUUGCUGUCAGUCCUUCUCCUGUUGUGUUUGUUUUUUGUGCUCCUUUUUUCUCUCAUCCACCAAUCAGCUGCAGCAAACGGUUGCUCCUGCUUCUCCCAGAAGUUUCCUCCUGUUCAAAAGGAGCUCUUCCUCCCCACUCUUGCUGCUCAGAGGGGAUCAUUGCACUUCUCUAUAAUAUUGUUGCUUCUUACAACACAGCACCUUGAGAUGAGUGUUGGAGUGAAACAUUACUACAUUUGGGAAAUCUUCACUCCGGGAAGGCUAAGCUAAUGGCAUUCUGGACAUAUCAGUUUAUUAGGCCACUGAGCUUUUUGGUCUUAAUUUAUUGAUCCAAUCACAGACUUGCACAAAUAUCUUCUUUGAUCACAUGACCUCUGUGGGCGCCAUGAUAAAAUAUAACCUGUGUUUUCCAGCUGGAGCAUACUCAUGGCCAGUUUGUACAUUGCUCUCUGCUCUGCCUUGGUGGAUUUUCUGCAGGGGUGAACAUUUCAGCAUUCUGGGAAAACACUUUAGGUAUUCCAAGGAAAAACGGGAUAAUAGGUGGUAUGGGGGUAAAAGAAUGAGUAGCUCAGAAGAAGCUCAGCUCAGUCAUGAAAUUAGCACCAGUGUCCAGGCUGUGAAUUCCACAGUGGGAAGUGUUUUAGCACCAAAUCUAAAGAAUAUUAUUGAUUGUUUAAAGUUCCUGAAAACUCCUGGAAAGUAAAAGGCGCAACCUGCUGGCUGAGCUGCUGAGAGCACAAACUGGGGCUGAAUGCACCGGACUGAGGAACACUUGCUGAAUACGUUUGUAUUGGAGGACUGGGUCACUGCAGUUGUGCAGAGACACACUACCUGUUCACUGAUAGCAGCCGUGGGAUACAAUCCAUGGCUUUUGUCAAUGUGACAUUUAUAGUUGAUUAUACAAUACGUUAAUAUUUAACCCUGGGAUCAGUCAGCUGUAGAAAAACAGCAUCAGCACAACAUUUUCUACUAUUUGGAAGCUGACAGAAUCUGCUAGUGUGCAGAUUUUCCUGCAGGCUUGUAUUCAGGUUAGUCUGCUCUAGAGCCUUGAUAGUUUCUCAAGCACUGAAUGGGGCAUCUGGAACUGAGCUGCAAUUUGCUACUGCAUCACAUCCUUACGUGUUCCUCCGGGGGCAACUUUUUGUACCGAGACAACUUUCUUAGGGACAGUUUGUCACCUCUGCGAAAAUCUCCUGCAGCACUGUAAAUAGACUAAUAUAUGACAUGCCAAAUGUGACUUUUUCUGUGCCGUUCCACAAUAUUUGGAGCAGCCUUGUUAUUUAUUGAAUCUCCUCUUACGCAAGUGAUCGUUGAUGAUGCAUUAUUCAUAUCUGUAGAAAGCUCCGUGUUAGAAAAGAAUUUCAUUUGUGAAUGUUAUCAAUCCAAGGCUUUCCUACUUAAGUAGUAAAUGGAUGAAGUGCUCUGGAAUGCUUUUCAAUGAUUUUUCUAUGGUUUUCAUGAAGACUACAACACUGAAAUAUUCUUGUAUUUGAGCACAAAGCUGAGGUGAAUACUGUCUGUGCAGCCACAACGCAGUGGAAAGAGCUUGUGGUGAUCAGAUCACUCAUGAAAAUCAGACGCGAUUGUCUGCCAGUUUAAAAAGGGAAUGUUUAAAUGCCUUUUCAGUAAUAAACUUUUUCUACUGUUCAUUCGAA
ensembl:lncRNA